AACGAACGCUGGCGGCAGGCUUAACACAUGCAAGUCGAACGCGUGCAGCAAUGCACGAGUGGCGCACGGGUGAGUAACGAGUGGAUAUCUGCCUUUUGGUUCGGAAUAACCCCGGGAAACUGGGGCUAAUACCGGAUGGUUCCUACGGGAUAAAGAUUUAUCGCCAAAAGAUGAGUCCGCGUCCGAUUAGCUAGUUGGUGAGGUAAUGGCUCACCAAGGCGACGAUCGGUAGCUGGUCUGAGAGGACGAUCAGCCACACUGGGACUGAGACACGGCCCAGACUCCUACGGGAGGCAGCAGUGGGGAAUAUUGGACAAUGGGGGCAACCCUGAUCCAGCCAUGCCGCGUAAGUGAUGAAGGCCUUCGGGUUGUAAAGCUCUUUUGGCGGGGACGAUGAUGACGGUACCCGCAGAAUAAGCCCCGGCUAACUUCGUG
rnacentral:rRNA from 1 species